rnacentral:rRNA from 1 species
AUGGCUGCCGCCGCCUCCGACUCCGACCCCGCCGCGCACCCGCGGGACGACCCCAACCUCCCCUUCGCCUCCUUCUCCCUCUCCCUCUCGCUCCGCACGCCCACCGCCCCCGCCGCCACCCUCGCCUCCGUCCCCUCCGCCGUCCGCCUACCCACCCAAAUCUCCACCCUCGCCGCCUGCCUCCACCCCUCCGCCGCCUCCUCCUCCCCGCGCCGCGCCACCCGCAUCAACGCCGCCGCGGCCUCCCUCCUCUCCCCGCUCACCGCCUCGUCGCCCGGCCUCUCCCGCUCCUUCCCCUCCGGCGCCCCCGGCGCCGCCGGCCGCCGCCGCACGCUCGUCUGGUUCCGCGCCGACCUGCGCCUCCACGACCACGAGCCUCUCCACGCCGCCGUCGGCGCGUCCUCCUCCCUCCUCCCCGUCUUUGUCUUCGACCCACGCGACUUCGGCAAGUCGCCCUCGGGUUUCGACCGCACCGGGCCCUACCGCGCUAGCUUCCUGUUGGACUCCGUCGCCGACCUGCGCCGGAGUCUCCGCGCGCGCGGCGGCGACCUCGUUGUGCGGGUUGGGAGGCCCGAGGUGGUGAUCCCCGAGCUCGCGCGUGCAGCCGGAGCAGAGGCCGUCUACGCGCACGGGGAGGUGUCGCGGGACGAGUGCCGCGCGGAGGAGAAGGUCAGCAAGGCCAUAGAGAAGGAAGGCGUCGAGGUCAAGUACUUCUGGGGCAGCACGCUGUACCACUUGGACGAUCUGCCCUUCAGGCUCAAUGACAUGCCAUCCAACUAUGGCGGAUUCAGGGAGGCCGUCAAGGGGUUGGAGGUUAGGAAGGUGCUGGACGCGCCAGAAGAGGUCAAGUGUGUGCCUAUGAAGAAUGUGCUGGAGCCUGGUGACAUCCCCACGCUUGGUGAGCUUGGACUCUCUGCACCACCGGCCAUGGCACAGGACUCAAAAUCUGCUGCUGGUUCAAAUCUCAUUGGUGGUGAGGCAGAAGCCCUGGAAAGGCUGAAGAAAUUUGCUGCAGAAUGUUGUAUGCAGCCGAAUAAAGCUGUGAAAGAUAGUACUCAGAAUAGCAUAUAUGGUGCUAAUUUCUCCUGCAAAAUUUCACCAUGGCUUGCUACUGGUUGUCUCUCUCCACGUUUCAUGUAUGAGGAGUUGAAGAAGCAUGCCAUUAGAGCAAUUCCAUCCAAGGAUGGUGACGGAACAUCCGAUGCUGGGACAAAUUGGUUAAUGUUUGAAUUGCUAUGGAGAGAUUUCUUCAGGUUCGUCACAAAGAAGUACAGCUCUGCACAGAAGACGUCCGAAGUUGCACCGGCCACUGGUUGCACACCCGCCCCUGCGUUUGCUUGA